rnacentral:rRNA from 1 species
UGCCAGCAGCCGCGGUAAUACGGAGGGUGCAAGCGUUGUCCGGAUUUAUUGGGUUUAAAGGGUGCGUAGGUGGGAUAUUAAGUCAGUGGUGAAAGCCUUCGGCUCAACCGAAGAACUGCCAUUGAAACUAUCGAUCUUGAGUAUAGUUGAGGUGGGCGGAAUGUAUCAUGUAGCGGUGAAAUGCAUAGAUAUGAUACAGAACACCAAUUGCGAAGGCAGCUCACUAAACUAUUACUGACGCUCAUGUACGAAAGCGUGGGUAGCGAACAGGAUUAGAUA